UGGCGGCCGCAGGGCGGCGUGCGGUACCGCGAGAUCGCCGGCGCGCACCGCAAGCUGACGGCCCGCAUCCAGGGGCUGCGCAGCCGCGUCGCCGCCGGCGAGGCGUGCAACAUCGACUACUACCUGCUGCUGGGCGUGCGGCGCGGGUGCACGCGCUCCGAGCUGGAACGCGCGCACCUGCUGCUCUCCCUGAAGCUCAAGCCUGACCGCGCCGUGGUGUUCGGGGAACGCCUUGAGCUCGUGGACGAGCACCGCGACCUGGAGGCGGUGCGUGACCAGGCGCGCAUGUCCGCGCUGCU
rnacentral:lncRNA from 1 species